rnacentral:rRNA from 1 species
UACGUAGGGGGCAAGCGUUAUCCGGAUUUACUGGGUGUAAAGGGAGCGUAGACGGCAGCGCAAGUCUGGAGUGAAAUCCCAUGGCUUAACCAUGGAACUGCUUUGGAAACUGUGCAGCUAGAGUGCAGGAGAGGUAAGCGGAAUUCCUAGUGUAGCGGUGAAAUGCGUAGAUAUUAGGAGGAACACCAGUGGCGAAGGCGGCUUACUGGACUGUAACUGACGUUGAGGCACGAAAGUGUGGGGAGCAAACAGG